AACCUUUCCAUGUCUAAGGUUUAUAGCUUCAGCCGUACUUGAUUUAUAUAAGCAAAAAGAAAAACCUUAGCAGUAUUUUUUAUAACUGCAGAAGCAUAUUUAUUCCAUUUUCACAUAACUCACACAUAGCUAGACAGAUUCUGCUUAAGCCUUCAAAAGAAAUUCCAUUUUAGACUAGACACUAAUGUGGAAAACUGGAGACCACAUGACUUCACGUAUCUAGAAGAGACACUGGAGGCAAUCGGGAAGGAAUUCGGUGGUGUGGUCCUUCCACAGUGAGAGGUGAAAUAAGAAAACCUCCAAAUAUGCUUCCCUCCCAACUGCUUUCCCUGAGUUAUCAGCCAGCCACCUGACCACAUCAGAAGCAGAAAGGAGGCUUUGGGCGUCCAGCCAGGGACAACAACAUUAGCUGUGGUGGAAAACAUCACCAAAGAAGUACAGCUCAUGCAAACGAAAUUUCUGAGAAAAAUCCAGGAAAGAAAGACCCGGAGGUGUGAGAUCACAGUGACUUGAUUCAGGGCAGAAGACAUCUUUAUGUGCAUGCUGAGGGAUGUUGUGGAUCUUGUAGACUGCGUAACCAUCUUUGGGCAAGUUACCCAUGACUUCAUCUGGAUUGAAAAUGACAGGACAUCCCGAUGUGAAGUGACUAAGAGGAGAGCAGUAGGCAGCCUGGCAUCCUCCCAUUCCUCAUGCAGAAGAGGGGGACUUCUCUGCAGAGGAGGAAAAACAAAGCCCAGCCAUCUGGAGGAUGCAACUGAGGCUGAACAUGGGGACCUGGCUGGCUGACUGCUGUAUUUCUCACUGGAUUCUCGGCUGUGUCUGACGGUCAUCCUUGCCUGAGUCAUGACUGAUGGAGUAUGUGUCCAUCUGCAGUGAUUGGUUCCGGAGGAAAUUUCUCCAGGUACCCUACAGCCGUCUUCUGAACAAGAAGGAACAUUCUUUCAGUCUUGGAAGCUACUGAGACUGAGUUGAGAAGAGCCUGAGUUGAGAGGCUCUGAUCACUCCAGAGUUGCACAGGAAUGC
rnacentral:lncRNA from 1 species